ACGGAGGGUGCAAGCGUUAUCCGGAUUUACUGGGUUUAAAGGGUGCGUAGGUGGGCAGAUAAGUCAGUGGUGAAAUCUCCGGGCUUAACUCGGAAACUGCCAUUGAUACUAUUUGUCUUGAAUAUCCUGGAGGUAAGCGGAAUAUGUCAUGUAGCGGUGAAAUGCUUAGAUAUGACAUAGAACACCCAUUGCGAAGGCAGCUUACUACGGGAUUAUUGACACUGAGGCUCGAAAGCGUGGGGAUCAAACAGGA
rnacentral:rRNA from 1 species